rnacentral:tRNA from 1 species
AGAAAAAUAGCAUAAUUUAAUGCAAAUUACUUACACUAAUUAUAUGAUCAAAAGAUCUUUUUCUA